AAGUCGUAACAAGGUUUCCGUAGGUGAACCUGCGGAAGGAUCAUUAUCCUUUUAUCAGAGAGAUUGGUGUCAGUGUGUUAGGCUUUGGCUCAGCUCAUUGGCCCAUUCUCGUUCUGGUUCUACCCAUGUUUUUUGCGUACUUCUUGUUUCCUUGGUCGGCUUGCCUGCCAAUAGGACAUAAUAAAACCUUUUGUAAUUGCAGUCAGCGUCAGUAACAAUGUAAUAAUUACAACUUUCAACAACGGAUCUCUUGGUUCUG
rnacentral:misc_RNA from 1 species